UGGGGAAUAUUGCACAAUGGGCGAAAGCCUGAUGCAGCGACGCCGCGUGAGGGAUGACGGCCUUCGGGUUGUAAACCUCUUUCAGUUGGGACGAAGCGCAAGUGACGGUACCUGCAGAAGAAGCACCGGCUAACUACGUGCCAGCAGCCGCGGUAAUACGUAGGGUGCGAGCGUUGUCCGGAAUUACUGGGCGUAAAGAGCUCGUAGGCGGUUUGUCACGUCGUCUGUGAAAUCCUAGGGCUUAACCCUGGACGUGCAGGCGAUACGGGCUGACUUGAGUACUACAGGGGAGACUGGAAUUUCUGGUGUAGCGGUGGAAUGCACAGAUAUCAGGAAGAACACCGAUGGCGAAGGCAGGUCUCUGGGUAGUAACUGACGCUGAGGAGCGAAAGCAUGGGUAGCGAACAGG
rnacentral:rRNA from 1 species